rnacentral:rRNA from 1 species
UACAGAGGGUGCGAGCGUUGUUCGGAAUUACUGGGCGUAAAGCGCGCGCAGGCGGCCCUUUAAGUCCGUCGGUCAAAUGCCGGGGCUCAACCCCGGUGCAUGCCGCGGAUACUGGAGGGCUGGAGACACGUAGAGGCAAGCGGAAUUCCGGGUGUAGCGGUGGAAUGCGUAGAGAUCCGGAAGAACACCGGAGGCGAAGGCGGCUUGCUGGGCGUGAUCUGACGCUGAGGCGCGAAAGCGUGGGGAGCGAACAGG